AGUGAACGCUGGCGGCAGGCCUAACACAUGCAAGUCGAGCGGCAGCACGGGUAGCAAUACCUGGUGGCGAGCGGCGGACGGGUGAGGAAUACAUCGGAAUCUGCCUUGUUGUGGGGGAUAACGUAGGGAAACUUACGCUAAUACCGCAUAAGACCGAGAGGUGAAAGCGGGGGAUCGAAAGACCUCGCGCGACAAGAUGAGCCGAUGUCGGAUUAGCUAGUUGGCGGGGAAAGGCCCACCAAGGCGACGAUCCGUAGCUGGUUUGAGAGGAUGAUCAGCCACACUGGAACUGAGACACGGUCCAGACUCCUACGGGAGGCAGCAGUGGGGAAUAUUGGACAAUGGGCGCAAGCCUGAUCCAGCCAUGCCGCGUGGGUGAAGAAGGCC
rnacentral:rRNA from 1 species